AUCUGUUUAUACUUUCUUCUAAGUUUAAGUGCCAUCUCCAUCUCUCAGGGACGAGAUCAAGGAGACACUCACAUUGUCUAUUUGGGGAAUGUCGAUAAAUCCCUCCAUCCAGACGCUGUUACAAGCUCCCAUCACGCACUCCUUGGGGAUGUUCUAGGAAGUGUCAAAGCUGCC